GUCCACGCCCUAAACGAUGAUCACUCGAUGUGUGCGAUAAACUGUACGCGUCCAAGCGAAAGCAUUAAGUGAUCCACCUGGGGAGUACGACCGCAAGGUUGAAACUCAAAGGAAAUUUGACGGGGGCCCGCACAAGCGGAGGAGCAUGUGGUUUAAUUUCGAUGAUACGCGAGGAACCUUACCAGGGCUUGAAAGUUAGUGAAGAAUGUGGAAACAUGUUCGUCAGCAAUGACACGAAACUAGGUGCUGCAUGGCUGUCGU
rnacentral:rRNA from 1 species